UAACUGGAGAGUUUGAUCCUGGCUCAGAACGAACGCUGGCGGCGUGCCUAACACAUGCAAGUCGAACGAGAAAGUUUCCUUCGGGAAACCAGUAAAGUGGCGCAAGGGUGAGUAACACGUGAAUAAUCUGCCUACGAAUUCGGGAUAACUCGACGAAAGUUGUGCUAAUACCGGAUAAGACCACACUUCUUAUGGAGCGUGGCCAAAGGAGUCUCAAACUCCGUUUGUAGAUGAGUUCGCGGACCAUUAGCUUGUUGGCGGGAUAACAGCCCACCAAGGCGACGAUGGUUAGCCGGCCUGAGAGGGUGAUCGGCCACACUGGAACUGAGACACGGUCCAGACU
rnacentral:rRNA from 1 species